rnacentral:rRNA from 1 species
UACGAAGGGGGCGAGCGUUGUUCGGAAUUACUGGGCGUAAAGGGCGCGUAGGCGGCGAUCCGAGUCAGACGUGAAAUCCCUCGGCUUAACCGGGGAACUGCGUCUGAUACUGGAUGGCUAGAGGUUGGGAGAGGGAUGCGGAAUUCCAGGUGUAGCGGUGAAAUGCGUAGAUAUCUGGAGGAACACCGGUGGCGAAGGCGGCAUCCUGGACCAAUUCUGACGCUGAGGAGCGAAAGCCAGGGGAGCAAACGGG